rnacentral:rRNA from 1 species
UACAGAGACUGCAAGCGUUAUUCGGAUUCACUGGGCGUAAAGGGUGCGCAGGCGGCCAAACGUGUGAGGUGUGAAAGCCCGGGGCUUAACCCCGGAAUUGCACCUCAAACUAUUUGUCUAGAGCAUUGGAGAGGGUAGCAGAAUUCACGGUGUAGCAGUGAAAUGCGUAGAUAUCGUGAGGAAUACCAGAGGCGAAGGCGGCUACCUGGACAAUUGCUGACGCUCAGGCACGAAAGCGUGGGGAGCAAAAGGG